GAUGAACGCUGGCGGCGUGCUUAACACAUGCAAGUCGAACGAUGACGCCCAGCUUGCUGGGUGGCUUAGUGGCGACCGGUUGAGUCACACGUGAGUAACCUGCCCUUAACUCUGGGAUAAGCCUUGGAACCUGGUUCUAAUACCGGAUAGAAGCUCCUACCGCAUUGUGUGUGUUGGAAAGCUUUAUCGGUUUUGGAUGGACUCGCGGCCUAUCAGCUUGUUGUUGAGGUCAUGGCUCACCAAGGCGACGACGGGUAGCCGGCCUGAGAGGGUGACCGGACAAACUGGGACUGAGACACGGCACAGACGCCUACGGGAGGCAGCAGUGGGGAAGAGUGAACAAGGGGCGAAAGCAGGAUGCAGCGACGCCGCGUGAGGGAUGACGGCCUUCGGGUUGUAAACCUAUGUCAGUAGGGAAGAAGCGAAAGUGACGGUACCGGCAGAAGAAGCACCGGCUAACUACGUG
rnacentral:rRNA from 1 species